CCGAAUACCAGUAAGUACUAUCCGGGAGACACACGGCGGGUGCUAACGUCCGUCGUGAAGAGGGAAACAACCCAGACCGCCAGCUAAGGUCCCAAAGUUAUAGCUAAGUGGGAAACGAUGUGGGAAGGCUCAGACAGCCAGGAUGUUGGCUUAGAAGCAGCCAUCAUUUAAAGAAAGCGUAAUAGCUCACUGGUCGAGUCGGCCUGCGCGGAAGAUUUAACGGGGCUAAGCUAUACACCGAAGCUGCGGCAAUGUGCUUUGCACAUUGGGUAGGGGAGCGUUCUGUAAGCCGUUGAAGGUGCAUUGUAAAGUGUGCUGGAGGUAUCAGAAGUGCGAAUGCUGACAUGAGUAACGACAAAGGGAGUGAAAACUCCCUCGCCGGAAGACCAAGGGUUCCUGUCCAACGUUAAUCGGGGCAGGGUGAGUCGACCCCUAAGGCGAGGCCGAAAGGCGUAGUCGAUGGGAAACGGGUUAAUAUUCCCGUACUUCUUACUAUUGCGAUGGGGGGACGGAGAAGGCUAGGUGAGCCUGGCGACGGUUGUCCAGGUCCAAGUACGUAGGUGGAUGAAUUAGGCAAAUCCGGUUCAUCAUUAACACUGAGAUACGAUGUCGAGCUACUACGGUAGCGAAGUCAUUGAUGCCAUGCUUCCGGGAAAAGCCUCUAAGCUUCAGAUAGUAAGAAAUCGUACCCCAAACCGACACAGGUGGUCGGGUAGAGAAUACCAAGGCGCUUGAGAGAACUCGGGUGAAGGAACUAGGCAAAAUGGUACGUAACUUCGGGAGAAGGUACGCUCUUAACGGUGAAGUCCCUCGCGGAUGGAGCUGUCGAGAGUCGCAGAUACCAGGUGGCUGCAACUGUUUAUUAAAAACACAGCACUGUGCAAAAUCGAAAGAUGACGUAUACGGUGUGACGCCUGCCGGUGCCGGAAGGUUAAUUGAUGGGGUUAGACGUAAGUCGAAGCUCUUGAUCGAAGCCCCGGUAAACGGCGGCCGUAACUAUAACGGUCCUAAGGUAGCGAAAUUCCUUGUCGGGUAAGUUCCGACCUGCACGAAUGGCGUAAUGAUGGCCACGCUGUCUCCACCCGAGACUCAGUGAAAUUGAAAUCGCUGUGAAGAUGCAGCGUACCCGCGGCUAGACGGAAAGACCCCGUGAACCUUUACUACAGCUUGGCACUGAACAUUGACCCUACAUGUGUAGGAUAGGUGGGAGACUUUGAAACGCAGACGCCAGUUUGCGUGGAGUCGUCCUUGAAAUACCACCCUUGUAGUGUUGAUGUUCUAACUUGGCCCCAUUAUCUGGGGUGAGGACAGUGCCUGGUGGGUAGUUUGACUGGGGCGGUCUCCUCCCAAAGAGUAACGGAGGAGCACGAAGGUGGGCUAAUCACGGUCGGACAUCGUGAGGUUAGUGCAAUGGCAUAAGCCCGCUUAACUGCGAGAAUGACGGUUCGAGCAGGUGCGAAAGCAGGUCAUAGUGAUCCGGUGGUUCUGUAUGGAAGGGCCAUCGCUCAACGGAUAAAAGGUACUCCGGGGAUAACAGGCUGAUACCGCCCAAGAGUUCAUAUCGACGGCGGUGUUUGGCACCUCGAUGUCGGCUCAUCACAUCCUGGGGCUGAAGUCGGUCCCAAGGGUAUGGCUGUUCGCCAUUUAAAGUGGUACGCGAGCUGGGUUUAGAACGUCGUGAGACAGUUCGGUCCCUAUCUGCCGUGGGCGUUGGAUGAUUGAGAGGGGCUGCUCCUAGUACGAGAGGACCGGAGUGGACGAACCUCUGGUGUUCGGGUUGUGUCGCCAGACGCAUUGCCCGGUAGCUAAGUUCGGAAUCGAUAACCGCUGAAAGCAUCUAAGCGGGAAGCGAGCCUCAAGAUGAGUCAUCCCUGAUACUUUAAGUAUCCUAAAGGGUUGUUGGAGACUACGACGUAGAUAGGCAGGGUGUGUAAGCGCUGUGAGGCGUUGAGCUAACCUGUACUAAUUGCCCGUGAGGCUUAACCAU
rnacentral:rRNA from 1 species